rnacentral:rRNA from 1 species
UUAAGCGACUAAGCGUACACGGUGGAUGCCCUGGCAGUCAGAGGCGAUGAAGGACGUGCUAAUCUGCGAUAAGCGUCGGUAAGGUGAUAUGAACCGUUAUAACCGGCGAUUUCCGAAUGGGGAAACCCAGUGUGAUUCGUCACACUAUCAUUAACUGAAUCCAUAGGUUAAUGAGGCGAACCGGGGGAACUGAAACAUCUAAGUACCCCGAGGAAAAGAAAUCAACCGAGAUUCCCCCAGUAGCGGCGAGCGAACGGGGAGGAGCCCAGAGCCUGAAUCAGUGUGUGUGUUAGUGGAAGCGUCUGGAAAGGCGCGCGAUACAGGGUGACAGCCCCGUACACAAAAAUGCACAUGCUGUGAGCUCGAUGAGUAGGGCGGGACACGUGGUAUCCUGUCUGAAUAUGGGGGGACCAUCCUCCAAGGCUAAAUACUCCUGACUGACCGAUAGUGAACCAGUACCGUGAGGGAAAGGCGAAAAGAACCCCGGCGAGGGGAGUGAAAAAGAACCUGAAACCGUGUACGUACAAGCAGUGGGAGCACGCUUAGGCGUGUGACUGCGUACCUUUUGUAUAAUGGGUCAGCGACUUAUAUUCUGUAGCAAGGUUAACCGAAUAGGGGAGCCGAAGGGAAACCGAGUCUUAACUGGGCGUUAAGUUGCAGGGUAUAGACCCGAAACCCGGUGAUCUAGCCAUGGGCAGGUUGAAGGUUGGGUAACACUAACUGGAGGACCGAACCGACUAAUGUUGAAAAAUUAGCGGAUGACUUGUGGCUGGGGGUGAAAGGCCAAUCAAACCGGGAGAUAGCUGGUUCUCCCCGAAAGCUAUUUAGGUAGCGCCUCGUGAAUUCAUCUCCGGGGGUAGAGCACUGUUUCGGCAAGGGGGUCAUCCCGACUUACCAACCCGAUGCAAACUGCGAAUACCGGAGAAUGUUAUCACGGGAGACACACGGCGGGUGCUAACGUCCGUCGUGAAGAGGGAAACAACCCAGACCGCCAGCUAAGGUCCCAAAGUCAUGGUUAAGUGGGAAACGAUGUGGGAAGGCCCAGACAGCCAGGAUGUUGGCUUAGAAGCAGCCAUCAUUUAAAGAAAGCGUAAUAGCUCACUGGUCGAGUCGGCCUGCGCGGAAGAUGUAACGGGGCUAAACCAUGCACCGAAGCUGCGGCAGCGACGCUUAUGCGUUGUUGGGUAGGGGAGCGUUCUGUAAGCCUGUGAAGGUGUACUGUGAGGUAUGCUGGAGGUAUCAGAAGUGCGAAUGCUGACAUAAGUAACGAUAAAGCGGGUGAAAAGCCCGCUCGCCGGAAGACCAAGGGUUCCUGUCCAACGUUAAUCGGGGCAGGGUGAGUCGACCCCUAAGGCGAGGCCGAAAGGCGUAGUCGAUGGGAAACAGGUUAAUAUUCCUGUACUUGGUGUUACUGCGAAGGGGGGACGGAGAAGGCUAUGUUGGCCGGGCGACGGUUGUCCCGGUUUAAGCGUGUAGGCUGGUUUUCCAGGCAAAUCCGGAAAAUCAAGGCUGAGGCGUGAUGACGAGGCACUACGGUGCUGAAGCAACAAAUGCCCUGCUUCCAGGAAAAGCCUCUAAGCAUCAGGUAACAUCAAAUCGUACCCCAAACCGACACAGGUGGUCAGGUAGAGAAUACCAAGGCGCUUGAGAGAACUCGGGUGAAGGAACUAGGCAAAAUGGUGCCGUAACUUCGGGAGAAGGCACGCUGAUAUGUAGGUGAAGUCCCUCGCGGAUGGAGCUGAAAUCAGUCGAAGAUACCAGCUGGCUGCAACUGUUUAUUAAAAACACAGCACUGUGCAAACACGAAAGUGGACGUAUACGGUGUGACGCCUGCCCGGUGCCGGAAGGUUAAUUGAUGGGGUCAGCGCAAGCGAAGCUCUUGAUCGAAGCCCCGGUAAACGGCGGCCGUAACUAUAACGGUCCUAAGGUAGCGAAAUUCCUUGUCGGGUAAGUUCCGACCUGCACGAAUGGCGUAAUGAUGGCCAGGCUGUCUCCACCCGAGACUCAGUGAAAUUGAACUCGCUGUGAAGAUGCAGUGUACCCGCGGCAAGACGGAAAGACCCCGUGAACCUUUACUAUAGCUUGACACUGAACAUUGAGCCUUGAUGUGUAGGAUAGGUGGGAGGCUUUGAAGUGUGGACGCCAGUCUGCAUGGAGCCGACCUUGAAAUACCACCCUUUAAUGUUUGAUGUUCUAACGUUGACCCGUGAUCCGGGUUGCGGACAGUGUCUGGUGGGUAGUUUGACUGGGGCGGUCUCCUCCUAAAGAGUAACGGAGGAGCACGAAGGUUGGCUAAUCCUGGUCGGACAUCAGGAGGUUAGUGCAAUGGCAUAAGCCAGCUUGACUGCGAGCGUGACGGCGCGAGCAGGUGCGAAAGCAGGUCAUAGUGAUCCGGUGGUUCUGAAUGGAAGGGCCAUCGCUCAACGGAUAAAAGGUACUCCGGGGAUAACAGGCUGAUACCGCCCAAGAGUUCAUAUCGACGGCGGUGUUUGGCACCUCGAUGUCGGCUCAUCACAUCCUGGGGCUGAAGUAGGUCCCAAGGGUAUGGCUGUUCGCCAUUUAAAGUGGUACGCGAGCUGGGUUUAGAACGUCGUGAGACAGUUCGGUCCCUAUCUGCCGUGGGCGCUGGAGAACUGAGGGGGGCUGCUCCUAGUACGAGAGGACCGGAGUGGACGCAUCACUGGUGUUCGGGUUGUCAUGCCAAUGGCACUGCCCGGUAGCUAAAUGCGGAAGAGAUAAGUGCUGAAAGCAUCUAAGCACGAAACUUGCCCCGAGAUGAGUUCUCCCUGACUCCUUGAGAGUCCUGAAGGAACGUUGAAGACGACGACGUUGAUAGGCCGGGUGUGUAAGCGCAGCGAUGCGUUGAGCUAACCGGUACUAAUGAACCGUGAGGCUUAACCU